UUUUGGCGUUUUCAAUUUUACUUAUUUUAGCCAAGAGUGAUAGAGACAAGACGGCGGGAUGUUAUGGAAAAUACUACGAAACAAAAAUUGCUUCACAAAAUCCUGAUUGAUCUGUCAAACAGUCACU